UUUUCAUGGAGAGUUUGAUCCUGGCUCAGGACGAACGCUGGCGGCGUGCUUAACACAUGCAAGUCGAACGGAAAGGCCCUUCGGGGUACUCGAGUGGCGAACGGGUGAGUAACACGUGGGUGAUCUGCCUCGUACUCUGGGAUAAGCCUGGGAAACUGGGUCUAAUACCGGAUAGGACCAUUGGGCGCAUGUCUGGUGGUGGAAAGUUUUUCGGUGCGAGAUGAGUCCGCGGCCUAUCAGCUUGUUGGUGGGGUAAUGGCCUACCAAGGCGAC
rnacentral:rRNA from 1 species